rnacentral:rRNA from 1 species
CCUACGAGAGGCAGCAGUGGGGGAUAUUGCACAAUGGGGGAAACCCUGAUGCAGCGACGCCGCGUGUGGGAAGACGGUCCUCUGGAUUGUAAACCACUGUCUCCAGGGACGAAGAUGACGGGACCUGGGGAGGAAGCUCCGGCUGACUACGUGCCAGCAGCCGCGGUAAUACGUAGGGAGCGAGCGUUGGCCGGAAUUACUGGGUGUAAAGGGAGCGUAGGCGGGGAUGCAAGUUGGGGGUCAAAACUACCGGCUCAACUGGUAGUCGCACUCAAAACUGCAGCUCUUGAGUGAAGUAGAGGCAGGCGGAAUUCCUAGUGUAGCGGUGAAAUGCGUAGAUAUUAGGAGGAACACCAGUGGCGAAGGCGGCCUGCUGGGCUUUUACUGACGCUGAGGCUCGAAAGUGUGGGGAGCAAACAGGAUUAGAUACCCUUGUAGUC